CUAAUAUUCCUCCACUUAGCAUAUGAUUCUAUAGCCAAGUUGAUUAACUACUACUCUAUAGAAAUUUAAUUCCAAAAGCAGUUCCAGAUGAAGACUAAUCCAGAUGGUGUCUUCAGGUAUAUACAAAAGAUGAUGCAAAAAUAUUUCAAUGCUAAGAGUCCAAACUUAAAGAGUCCAUAAUUAGUUAACUUUCCAUAUCUUAAAACUCAAUGCUUAGUUCACUUUUGCCUUCUGCCCUUGUUUAUAACAUGUCACCAAAGAUAAAGUGGAACUAGGAAUUGUUCCAGGUUCUCCCACAUCUCAUACUCAAAAACCUCUUUUUUAGUGUGGUAAAAGCAAAUCUAACGAGGCAUGUAGAAGGUAUCUUCUCUCCUUAAUUUAGGACUGCAAGUGGAUUGGAUCUUAUCUUAUUUAAUUUAAGUAUAAAUGGACUGCACUUCUGAUCAACAAUCUAACCACUGAUCACUGAUUCAAUCCAGCUUUUUAGAUUAUAAUUGGACCGGACAUGCAUCCAAGGCAAUUUGAUAUAAUAUAAAGAUUAGAUUUUGAACACAUAUAUGUGUAAUUAAAGGGACAAUAGAUGCAAAUGAUACCUCAAC
rnacentral:lncRNA from 1 species